rnacentral:rRNA from 1 species
AUUCCAGCUCCAAUAGCGUAUAUUAAAGUUGUUGCAGUUAAAAAGCUCGUAGUUGAAUUUCUGGUGGGAGUGUACAGUCCGACACUGAGUGUUGGUUCUUGUGUGUCUCCGGCCAUCCUUGGAGUGAAUCUGUCUGGCAUUUAGUUGUUGGGCAGAGUAUCUCCAUCGUUUACUGUGAGGAAAGGAAAGUGUUCAAAGCAGGCUUACGCCGUUGAAUCUUUUAGCAUGGAAUAAUAAGAUAGAAUCUUGAUACUAUUUUGUUGGUUUUCAGGGUCUAAGUAAUGAUUGAUAGGGAUAGUUGGGGGUGCUAGUAUUUUGCGGCCUGAGGUGAAAUUCUGUGAUUCGCGAAAGACUAACUUAUGCGAAAGCAUUCACCAAGGAUGUCUUCAUCA